rnacentral:lncRNA from 1 species
GUCCAGACCAAGGCACACUCUCCCUGGGUGAGGCAGGAGAAAUCUCUCUCUUUUUCUCAUGUAAAGCAUUUUCCCCACAACCAGGUCCCUUGGACUCUUACCUUCAAGCACCAAUGCUUUUAGAAAUAUUUCUUCCAAAUAAAGACAGUGACAUUCCCAAGAGGAAUUCUGGGGAGGAAAAGAUUUUCCAUCUCAUUACAGGUGUAAUUGCUCUUCUCUCCUUUUGUUUGCAAGUAAUAAAAACUCACACAGACUGGUUUAAGCAAGGAAAGAAAUUUAUUGGCUCAUAAAACUAAAAAGUCCAAUGUAGACUUCAGGGACAGCUGCAUCCAGGUGCUCCAAUGAUGUCAUCAGCUUGCUCUCUUUUCUCUGUUUCUCUGCUUUCUUCUGCAUUGCUCAGAAAAAUAUUUGUCUUAGUUCGGGUUGUCAUAACAAAAAUACUAUAGCUUAAUGCUUGGCUUAAACAACAAAUGCUUAUUUCUCACAGCUCUGGGGGCUGGGAAGUUCAAGAGCAAGGUGCUGGCAGACCUGGUGUCCAGUGAGGGCCCGCUUCCCGGUUUGCAGGUGGCCCUCUUCUCAUUGUGUCCUCACGUGGCACAGCAGAGGGAGAAGCAAGUUCUCACGUCUCUUAUAACAGCAGUAACCCCAUCCGUGAGGGCUCCGUCCUCGUAUCCUUCCACUGGGGGUUAAGGUUUCUACAUAGGAAUCUUGGGGCGCAAAUAUUCCGUCCCUAACAACUCCCCAGCACAGCGGCAGAACGGUCAUCACCAGCUCUCGCGGGGCUGCUCAACGCUGCCAGGAGGAGCACGCUUCCUUCCCAGGAGUCUUUACCAGUCUCAGAGCUGGCUCUUGUCGACCCCACUUAGGAAAUCACAAAGUCCACCUCAGUGAAGGGUCGUCCACACCCCCACAGCAUCUCGGGUCGAAGGUGCCUUCUGAGAAAGCUCUACGUUCCCUGACGGCCCUGGGGGUGGCUCUCUGCAGCCCUGCGGAGCGGAGCCCACGCGGGCCUCCCGGGGUCUCUCCAGCAUCGCUCUUCCUGCCCGCAGGCCCAGGCCAGCACGAGACACGCAGGCUGCAGUCACUGGGUUGCCGGCCGCCACGCUGCAACCGGGAGACCCCAAUACGGAGCUUAGGUGUGUCUCCAUUUCUGCACUCGCAACAUGGAGAUGAUGGAGACGAUAAUGCCCUCCACUCGGGCCGCGGCCGGUGGGUGGGCACAAUAGAUGAGAAACACCUGGCUCGGCAGAGGCGCAGUAACACACAGAGUUCUCACCCAGCGCCCUCCCGCCCCCGCAGGACUGGAGCUGGCUGCUCCCUGGAUGAGGGAUGAUUAAAAUUCCCUGUCUCGCCCCCAAGCCCCAGCACCCGCAGGAAGCAGGCUGCGGCCGCUACGGAUGCUGACGCCUGAAGGGAGGACCGUGCGGGUGGAGGACUGACUGCUGAUCUCAGAGCCACUGCGACCCGCAGGCGCCCAGCUGAGCCCCUCCAUUCUUGGCGGACUCCACGGGCCCAGGCCGGGCAGGCGACUCUCCUCCAGCUCUCAGCAGCCACGGGGCCAGUGCUGGCCAGGGAGCUGGGGGACAGCUCCACGGUGGGCUGCACGGAGCCCGCCCAGGCCAGGGGUAGGCCAGCCGGCUCUCUCCAUCUCAGCUCGGUCCCAGAUACCCUCCACAUGUCCUCCAGAACCCUCCAGGUUCCCUCCGGGUACUCUUUAGGUACUCAUCCAGAUACCCUGCAGGUACUCUUUAGGUGCUCAUCCAGAUACCCUGCAGGUUCCCUCUGGGUACUCUUUAGGUGCUCAUCCAGAUACUCUGCAGGUACUCUUUUUUUUUAUUUUUUUAUUUUUUUAAAGAUUUUAUUUUUUCCUUUUUCUCCCCAAAGCCCCUCUGGUACAUAGUUGUAUAUUCUUCGUUGUGGGUCCUUUCAGUUGUGGUAUGUGGGACGCUGCCUCAGCGUGGUUUGAUGAGCAGUGCCAUGUCCGCGCCCAGGAUUCGAACCAAUGAAACACUGGGCCGCCUGCAGCGGAGUGCGCGAACUUAACCACUUGGCCACGGGGCCAGCCCCUCUGCAGGUACUCUUUAGGUGCUCAUCCAGAUACCCUGCAGGUA